rnacentral:tRNA from 1 species
UGGGGCGUAGCUCAACGGUAGAGCUCUUGCCUAACAUGUGUGAGCCCUGGGUUUAACUCCCAGUACCACAG